rnacentral:rRNA from 1 species
GAUGAACGCUGGCGGCGUGCUUAACACAUGCAAGUCGAACGGAAAGGCCCUGCUUUUGUGGGUUGCUCGAGUGGCGAACGGGUGAGUAACACGUGAGUAACCUGCCCUUGUCUUUGGGAUAACUUCAGGAAACUGGGGCUAAUACCGGAUAGGAGCUCCUGCUGCAUGGUGGGGGUUGGAAAGUUUCGGCGGUUGUGGCUGGACUAGCGGCUUAUCAGCUUGUUGGUGGGGUAGUGGCUUACAAAGGCUUUGACGGCUAGCCGGCCUUAGAGGGUGACCGGCCACAUGGGGACUGAGAGACGGAGCAGACUCCAACGGGAGGCAGUGGGGGGGAAUAUGGCGCAGUGGGCGGAAGCCUGAGGCAGCAACGCCGCGUGCGGGAUGACGGCCUUCGGGUUGUAAACCGCUUUCGCCGGUGACGAAGCGUGAGUGACGGUAAUGGGUAAAGAAGCACCGGCUAACUACGUG